rnacentral:rRNA from 1 species
AUACGGAGGAUCCGAGCGUUAUCCGGAUUUAUUGGGUUUAAAGGGUGCGCAGGCGGCCAUUUAAGUCAGCGGUUAAAUCGUGGGGCUCAACCCCAUUCUGCUGUUGAUACUGGGUGGCUUGAUUGCGGUCGAGGUUGGCGGAAUUCGUUGUGUAGCGGUGAAAUGCAUAGAUAUGACGAAGAACACCGAUUGCGUAGGCAGCUGACCAGACCGCAAAUGACGCUCAUGCACGAAAGUGCGGGGAUCGAACAGGAUUAGAUACCCUGGUAGUCCGCACAGUAAACGAUGAAUACUUGUUUUCGGCGAUAUAAUGUCGGAGGCAAAGCGAAAGCGAUAAGUAUUCCACCUGGGGAGUACGCCGGCAACGGUGGAACUCAAAUGAAUUGACGGGG